AGCUGCAGCCGGACAAGGUUAAGAGGCAGAUAUCCAUUUGCGAUGGAAAGCUUAAAGUACAAUUUGAAGCGGUGGAGGCUAGGUUUCUGCGUGCAUCAUUUAGUUCAUUCGUGGACCUUUUGAUUCUUACUACACAACUCAUCGAAGAGUAUGGCCACACUCCAAUCUAAUGUCAUUUUGUUAGAAAAAGAGGAUCAUUUGGUAAGUAUUCUAUGUGAGUCUUCAUGUCUGUAUUGUAAUUCUUCAUAACAAUAGGAUUCUAAGAUUUCCUGUGGCUUAAUGUUUACUUUGAAUAAUGUCUUUAGUCAUCACAUCAUGAGUCACAGCACAAUUUUCUGUUAGUGGCAAUGCGACUACAUGUCGGUGACACUCAUUAUCUUCGCCCAAAUCCUCUCCUUUGUUACCUUUGUCAUCGGGGAGAUGUAGUGCCUCAGAAUUUGGGGUUGGAUGCAUUUUUGGCAAGAGGCUUGGAUUGUACUGUUGGCUUCUUUGUGCCCCCACUUUGAUCACUCUUUUGUCGCGGAUCCUUAUCAUGUUGCGACUCUAAAUCCAAGCUUCGGUCAAUAUCGGUAUAGAUGUUAUUGGCAUAACAAAACUACUCUCACCGGUAGGAUUGUCCGCUUCCAUAGCAUCUGGGGGUUUUGAAGCUCAAGUUGCUGCCUCUUCAUUUUCGGUUUUGUGCAAUCCGCUUCCAUAGCAUCUGGGGGUUUUGAAGCUCAAGUCGCUGCCUCUUCAUUUUCGUUUUCGCGUGUGGCUACCUCACUCGACUUACCACUCCGAAGAACUGAAUGACAGUGGGAAUCUAUUCAGAGGUACAAGAUGUUAGUGAAACAUAACGAAAGAUGGUGAUCGAUUAAUAGAUGUUAAUAGAAUUUUACGCGAUUCAUAUCUAGUAAGUCUCUUCUAUGUCAAUCUUCCUUUUGACAAAUGAAGUGUUUUGUUUAAUUUACCUCAACAAGAACGAUAACGACAUACUGAAAGGACAAAACACAGUCAGUUCUCUCUAAUA